GAAUGUCAAAGUGAAGAAAUUCA
rnacentral:piRNA from 3 species